rnacentral:rRNA from 1 species
ACGCUCGACACCUACGGGAGCAGCAGUGGGGAAUAUUGCACAAUGGGGGAAACCCUGAUGCAGCGACGCCGCGUGAGUGAAGAAGUAUUUCGGUAUGUAAAGCUUUAUCAGCAGGGAAGAAGAUGACGGUACCUGAGUAAGAAGCCCCGGCUAACUACGUGCCAGCAGCCGNGGUAAUCUGAGCGGGCUGGCAAGGC